AGUGAACGCUGGCGGCGUGCUAAACACAUGCAAGUCGAACGAGAACGGGAUAUAGCUUGCUAUAUUUGUCAGCUAAGUGGCGCACGGGUGAGUAAUGUAUAGAUAACCUGCCCUCUAGAAAGGAAUAACAGUUGGAAACGACUGCUAAUGCCCUAUAUGCCUUUAAUACAUAAGUAUGCAAGGGAAACGCUUUAGUGCUAGAGGAUGGGUCUGUAUGGUAUCAGCUUGUUGGUGAGGUAAUGGCUCACCAAGGCUAUGACGCCUAACUGGUUUGAGAGGAUGAUCAGUCACACUGGAACUGAGACACGGUCCAGACUCCUACGGGAGGCAGCAGUGGGGAAUAUUGCACAAUGGACGAAAGUCUGAUGCAGCAACGCCGCGUGGAGGAUGACACAUUUCGGCGCGUAAACUCCUUUUAUAUAGGAAGAUAAUGACGGUACUAUAUGAAUAAGCACCGGCUAACUCCGUGCCAGCCGCCGCCGUAA
rnacentral:rRNA from 1 species